CGCCGGUGUCAACUCACGUCAAGGUGUCCAUGUUGCGAGUGCAGUCGUAACGCUUUGGCGUUGGAUCCGAGCCCAUGGAGAAAGUUGGAGCUGUAGAGCUGUAUUGUCAACGAUGUCCACACACCGGAGUCGGAGAACACGUAUCAAAUAUUUUAAUUUGACUGAAGUUUUCGUCGCUGAGCAUCUGCAAGCCAGCCACAGUGCAAUGGACAUUAUCCUGACGAGUCAAGACAGUUCCCCCGAGUUUGCAAGUUCUGCAUCCUGCAUGCAGCCUAUAUCGUAGAAAUCACUGUCAGGGUCACUGGACGACAAUUAACUUAUCGUUGUUUAUGUGCACCACGGGCAGAUGAUGGAUUUGCCGCUAGUACAUCGCGAGUUUCUGUAUCCCCCUGACAUCACACUGCUAUGAAACGUCACCGAGAAGCCGCCCCCUCGAUAUCGAAACCAAAAGUGUCUUUCUAAGGUAACGAUAAAUAAAAUAUAUACGAUGCAUUCCCAGGCACCACAAUACUCGUUUUAGGUUUCUCGACACCAGUAUCUUUAUUUAGAGCAUCAAUCCGAAAAUUUUUAAAAUUCAUGUCAGUACUCCUUUAACAUACCUUUUUUCCUGUCUGUACUCAUAAGUAACCUCAACUCACUUGGCAAGAAUCUUUAGCACAUAAGCGACACAAGGACGAAAAGGGAGGGACAACGUCUGCACUAACUUUCAACGAAAUGGUUUAUUGCACACAAGGCACUAAUAGACACAGUGGUGGUGCCCUAGCACUUCACCAAGAUGCCAUGCAGAGAGAUAUGUCUUUUUCUGUUUUAUUUUGACAAAAUAUAUGGCACACUAUAAUCGCUUCGCGAACUACUACACAUUCAAUACAGUCACUUCUUUAUUCGAGAAGGAUAGUUGCGGAGUGCUAACACAAUUGGUACCCACUUUUACAAUUUUUGCAGCUUCUAUCAUCAGUCUCGUUAGUUCAACUCUAUUAGCUGAUGAAACCUUUGUGUCCUGAAAGAAAGGUUCAUACUCUCAUGCCCUACACUGUGACGCCAGCCAUCCAUCGUUGCAUUUGUUCACAAGAUUACAGUGCUCUCUUAACCUAUCAUUCAUGCAGUGGCCCAUUUCCUGACAUACCACUUACCACAUGAAAGAGGUAUCUGAUAAACGACAGCUUCUGAGCAUGUCCUAUGUCGUUUUGUGCAAGCAAUUGUCUUCUUUGGUGCUUGACUACUAAUUCUGCAAAUCGAUUUCAGCUUGCAUGGAGCUGAAAAACUACUUGUACAUUAGCACGUGACGCCAUCCUUUCCAUAACGGUAGUUGGAUAGCUUAACAACUCAACAGGACACACAGCACAUGGGAAAGGUUCACACACAACGCGUCGCAUAAACAGAAGUGUAAGUCGUAAAAGGCUUAAAUUAGGAAGUACCGCUCCAUUGCUCUAGUUGGCUGUUCCAACAGUGAUGUCGCUCAAAAAAGAAUAGCUGAUGUGCCAUACUUGCACAAAAUUUAGCAUUACAUAAUAAGGUUGGUGUCACAUACAAAUGUGCAAAUAGUUUUCCAGCUCUAUGAAAGCUGAACUCAAUUUGCAGAAUUUGCAGUCAAGCACGGAAGAAAACUGCUUGUAAGAAAACGAUAUAGGAUGUGGUUUGCGGAAUGUAGACAAGCUGCUGCUUAUCUGAUACCUCUUUUCUGCAGUAAGCAGUAUGCUGGGCAAACAAGCAGCUGCAUGAAUGAUAGGUUAAGAUAGCAUUGUAAUGUGUGAACCUUUCUUACAGAACACAAAGGUUUUGUCAACCAACAGAGCUGAACUAACGAGAUUUAUAAUACUAUUAGCUGCAGGAAUUGCAAAAAUUGGGUACCAAUCGUGUUAGCACUCUGUCCCUGUCGGAUAAAGAAUCUGCUUUCUUGAUUGUGCAAUAGUUCGUUAGUUGAUUAGUGUUACGUACGUCUUGUAAAAAUGAAGUGGAAAAAUACAAAUCUCUGUGCAUGGCUUCUUGGUGCAGUGUGAGGGUACCAACACUGUAUAAAUGUUUGCCUCGUGUGCAAUAAACGAUUUUGUUUAAAGUUAGUGCAUGUGUUGUGUCCCUCCAUUUUUCUCCUCGUGUUGCUUAUGUGCAAAAAAUUCUUAGUAUGUUGUCAACUAGGCUGAAUUUUUCCCUAAACCUCUGUCACCCUGUGCUGCAUCGUCUGUUGUCUUUUGACCAAACUAUAGCCUCUUGUUGUUUUUUUUGGUAUGCAGGUGUAUGUGCAUGCUUGACUGACAUUUUUUUAAUUUAAUAUGCCUUUUGUGUGCAAGAUGAAAUUAGAAUUCCAGAUAUUCCCAAAACCACAAUAUGAUUGUCACACACAGUGCUGUGGAGGAGCUCGUUAAUUUUGCCUACCCUAGAUUCUUUAGCAUAUCUAGAUUUACUUCAUUAAGUGAGACAAAAUCAGCUGUUCAACCGCCCCUGCUUUUGGCAUUUACAAAUGUUCGACAAUUCGACAAAGUAUUGCUGCUGUGCUUGUGCGUUUGCCAAGUCAGCCUUCCGAUUUUUGUUGUGGUGAUACAUGCCUGCUCGAUGGAGACACCUUGUAUUUAUUGUGCCUUUUGCGUGCAGGUUUUUGGACAAAGUCAUCAAUUCCAUUGCUCUUCCUGUGCCAAGUGGCCAGGAUAAUGGUUGAAAUUGCUACAAUAAAGGUUAUGA